AUUAAUAAGUUGCAAUAAGACAGUUACUGAGGAAUAAAAAUUCGGAUAGAAUAAUAAAAACUACAAAACAAAAGAUUUUGAUACAACAUUUAUCCUCAAUUAUCAUCCCAUAUACUCUUCCAUCGUUUUGAUAGAGCCAUAGUUCUCACAGCUUCGUCUAAAGGAAGUUUUAAUAUGAUUUUACCCAAAAUUUCGUUUGGGAGAUCGCUAAUGCGAUCUUUAGUGUUGUCUACAUCAACUACAACACUUCUUCCUCGUGUAUCAGACGAUGAUUGAAAUAUAUUUUUUUGUGAAGAAGAAAGAAAAGAAAAGUGAAAAUAUUUCUUACUUUAGAUUAUUCAUAGGUAGGAAGAACAUGAGAUGAGAAGGUUUAUAUGUACAUGAGGUAGUUUGUAGUUAAUUACGAGGAGAUAAGAUAAACUAAAUAUAGACCAUACAAUAUAUUUGGGUUGUUGUAAGAAAAUAAAAACCAAAUCAAGUAAGAAUAAUUAUGAUUCCAUUUAAACAAUUUGUAUUCCUUUCACACUCAAAAUUAGGAAAAAAGUUAACACUUUCCAACCUAAAAUAUAUAGGGAAAAUUGGCUAUAAAGGAUAGAUACAACAACUUUUGUCCAUAUAUACCUUUUUUGUAGAUUGGUAAGAAAGAUUUGAGAAAAUAAAUACGAGUAUGCAGAAUAAAUUGAUACACAUAAUUGUAAUGAGGUUUGGUCUUACAAACUAUAUCCAUGGAAUUAGAACCCGUCCAAAAACAAAACAAAUAUAAACAAAAGUAAUUACACAAUUGCAAACGCAUAAAUUAAAUCCACCUGCUCUGAUCUACCACUAAGCUAAAUUACAUCUGAAUUUAUAGUUUAGUCAUGUUUUGAAUAGGAGCAAGCACCUUUUUAGCCUAUUAUGAAUAGGAAGAGUUACAAAUUAUGUCCAACUUGACGUUAUUUGUAUUUAAUUUUCUUGAAUUUCCAUUCUUGUAUCAUCUUCUACCAUCUUCUAGAAGGAGAUAUCUUGCUCUUAAAGGAAUUAUCCAACAUCACUUGUCGAUGGACUUGCUACUGAAGCUACAAGAACAUGGCAUGCUCGGUUAUGUCAUAUUGGAGUUGAUUCACAGAGAAGAUGUUGGAGAAGUACAUGAAGAAGAUGAUGUCAUGGAGGAUAUCACUAAAAAAACCACGAGAAUGAGGUUGGUGAAGUAAUCCAAGGAGUACCACAACUGAGAAGGUCGGGUCGACAAGUAAGUCAGUCGCGGUACCUUGAAGACUAUGUUAUGCAGUCCCAAACAACUUAUAGAUUGUUCAAACAAGCUUAUGUUAAAAGUAAGAGACGUCAACUUUCGACAAGUAAUGAGCCAAGAGGCUAAAGAUGUGCUUUAAUGGUGGAAAGCAUGUGAAGAGGAGUUUGAAUCAGUCAACAAGAACGAGAUGGUUCUUUGUUGACAUAUUGAUUCAAGUUUCUAAUCGGUUUAAAAGCUUUUCAAGAGUUUGUAGAGAAGCAAGUCUGCUUGUCUAUUAAAACCUUUCGUACCCAUAAAGGAGGAGAGUUUACUUCAAGGGAGUUCAAUCGAUGUUGCAUAGAGGAGGAAUCUCUAGGUAUCUAAUGAAGAUUCUAAAUGAUAUGUGGGGAGAAGUCGUACGUCAUUCAAAGAUCAUGGGACUACAUCUAGAGAAACUAGAUGAAGAGUCAAGAAGUAUAAUCACGAGGAUGCAUCUCAAGAAGGUAGAUGAUUGGUCAAUCUUGGAACCAAGUCAGAUUUUAGAGAUGUUUAAACCAAGUUGGGUUUUAUUAGAGAAUAUCAAAACAAGCAAGGUCAUGGUAUUUGGGUGUUUUGUACUAGUCCUUGAAAUACAAGUAAUAUUUAGCUAAGAAACCUGAAAUGAUUAUGAUACAUUGCAACACACCGAAAUUUAAUUAGCCCACGAUAUAUCAUAAACAAAU
rnacentral:sRNA from 1 species